AGCAGCCGCGGUAAUUCCAGCUCCAAUAGCGUAUAUUAAAGUUGUUGCAGUUAAAAAAGCUCGUAGUUGAAUUUCGGGGUCAGUAGGUUGGUCAUGCCACUGGUAUGUACUGGCCUCACUGAUUCCUCCUUCCUGAUGAGCCGUAAUGCCAUUAAUUUGGUGUUGCGAGGAAUCUGGACUGUUACUUUGAAAAAAUUAGAGUGUUUAAAGCAGGCUAACGCUUGAAUACAUUAGCAUGGAAUAAUGAAAUAGGACGUUCGAUCUUAUUUUGUGGUUUCUAAGAUUGACGUAAUGAUUAAUAGGGAUAGUUGGGGGCAUUAGUAUUCAAUUGUCAGAGGUGAAAUUCUUGGAUUUAUUGAAGACUAACUACUGCGAAAGCAUUUGCCUAAGGAUGUUUUCAUUAAUACAAGAACGAAAGUUAGGGGAUCGAAGACGAUCAGAUACCGUCGUAGUCUUAACCAUAAACUAUGCCGACUAGGGAUCGGAUGAUGUAAUUUUUAUGACUCAUUC
rnacentral:rRNA from 1 species